GUGCCAGCAGCCGUGGUAAUACCGGCAGCCCGAGUGAUGGCCGAUCUUAUUGGGCCUAAAGCGUCCGUAGCUGGCCGCACAAGUCUGUCGGGAAAUCCACCUGCUCAACAGGUGGGCGUCCGGCGGAAACUGUGUGGCUUGGAACCGGAAGGCUCGGAGGGUACGUCCGGGGUAGGAGUGAAAUCCCGUAAUCCCGGACGGACCACCGAUGGCGAAAGCACUUCGAGAAAACGGAUCCGACAGUGAGGGACGAAAGCUAAGAUCGCGAACCGGAUUAGAUACCCCUGUAGUCC
rnacentral:rRNA from 1 species